AUUGAACGCUGGCGGCAGGCUUAACACAUGCAAGUCGAGCGGUAACAGAGAGAAGCUUGCUUCUCUGCUGACGAGCGGCGGACGGGUGAGUAAUGCCUAGGAAUCUGCCUAGUAGUGGGGGAUAACUUGCCGAAAGGUAAGCUAAUACCGCAUACGUCCUGCGGGAGAAAGGAGGGGACCUUCGGGCCUUUCGCUAUUAGAUGAGCCUAGGUCGGAUUAGUUAGUUGGUGAGGUAAUGGCUCACCAAGACCGCGAUCCGUAACUGGUCUGAGAGGAUGAUCAGUCACACUGGAACUGAGACACGGUCCAGACUCCUACGGGAGGCAGCAGUGGGGAAUAUUGGACAAUGGGCGAAAGCCUGAUCCAGCCAUGCCGCGUGUGUGAAGAAGGUCUUCGGAUUGUAAAGCACUUUAAGUUGGGAGGAAGGGUAUUCACCUAAUACGUGGGUACUUUGACGUUACCAACAGAAUAAGCACCGGCUAACUCUGUGCCAGCAGCCGCCGUAA
rnacentral:rRNA from 1 species